CCCUUAGAUGUUCUGGGCUGCACGCGCGCUACACUGACGAAUGCAACGAGCUUAUAACCUUGGCCGAAAGGUCUGGGUAAUCUCCAAAUUUCGUCGUGAUGGGGAUAGAUUAUUGCAAUUAUUAAUCUUCAACGAGGAAUGCCUAGUAAGCGCAAGUCAUCAGCUUGCGUUGAUUACGUCCCUGCCCUUUGUACACACCGCCCGUCGCACCUACCGAUUGAAUGGUCCGGUGAAAUCUCGGGACGGCGGCUUGGUCGCUUGCGUCCGACUGCUGAAACUUGAUUAAACCAUAUCAUUUAGAGGAAGGUGAAGUCGUAACA
rnacentral:rRNA from 1 species